CUCCUGGAAACGGGUGGUAAUGCCGGAUGUUCCACAUGAGCGCAUGCGAGUGUGGGAAAGGCUUUUUGCGGCAUGGGAUGGGGUCGCGUCCUAUCAGCUUGUUGGUGGGGUAACGGCCUACCAAGGCGUUGACGGGUAGCCGGCCUGAGAGGGCGACCGGCCACAUUGGGACUGAGAUACGGCCCAGACUCCUACGGGAGGCAGCAGUGGGGAAUAUUGCACAAUGGGCGCAAGCCUGAUGCAGCGACGCCGCGUGCGGGAUGGAGGCCUUCGGGUUGUAAACCGCUUUUGUUCAAGGGCAAGGCACGGUUUCGGCCGUGUUGAGUGGAUUGUUCGAAUAAGCACCGGCUAACUACGUGCCAGCAGCCGCGGUAAUACGUAGGGUGCAAGCGUUAUCCGGAUUUAUUGGGCGUAAAGGGCUCGUAGGCGAUUCGUCGCGUCCGGUGUGAAAGUCCAUCGCUUAACGGUGGAUCCGCGCCGGGUACGGGCGGGCUUGAGUGCGGUAGGGGAGACUGGAAUUCCCGGUGUAACGGUGGAAUGUGUAGAUAUCGGGAAGAACACC
rnacentral:rRNA from 1 species